rnacentral:tRNA from 1 species
UUUUACUUAGUUUAUAAAAUAAUUACUUGUCAAGUAAUAGAGGCUUAGGCAGUAUGGU